rnacentral:rRNA from 1 species
UACAGAGGGUGCGAGCGUUAAUCGGAAUUACUGGGCGUAAAGCGUGCGUAGACGGUUAUUUAAGUCGGGUGUGAAAGCCCCGGGCUCAACCUGGGAAUUGCAUUCGAGACUGAAUAGCUAGGGUACGGUAGAGGGAAGUGGAAUUUCCGGUGUAGCGGUGAAAUGCGUAGAUAUCGGGAGGAACACCAGUGGCGAAGGCGGUUGCCUGGAGCUUUGCUGACGCUGAUGCGCGAAAGCGUGGGGAGCGAUCCGG